UACGGGGGGAGCAAGCGUUGUUCGGAUUUACUGGGCGUAAAGGGCGCGUAGGCGGUCAGCACAAGUCAGUUGUGAAAUCUCCGGGCUUAACCCGGAAACUGCCAUUGAUACUAUUAGUCUUGAAUACCGUGGAGGUCAGCGGAAUAUGUCAUGUAGCGGUGAAAUGCUUAGAUAUGACAUAGAACACCAAUUGCGAAGGCAGCUGGCUACACGAGCAUUGACACUCAGGCACGAAAGCGUGGGGAUCAAACAGG
rnacentral:rRNA from 1 species